rnacentral:lncRNA from 1 species
CUCUGGCUCUGGAAGCUCUGCUCUGGCAACUCUGCUCUGGCAGCUCUGCUCUGGAAGCUUUGCUCUGCCAACUCUGCUCUGGUUAGCUCUGCUCUGGACUUUUCCCUCUGCCUAUUUCUCACAGCUUCUUUGCUCCCUGCUGCUCAUCUUUGGUAUUCCACUUUGGUAUUCCAAGCAAAGCCACGUGUCCUGAUCUUAGGACCUUGCAUAUUUCACCCCUCAUCAGAGUUGAUAAAUCAUAUUGCUUC